UACGUAGGGCGCAAGCGUUGUCCGGAAUUAUUGGGCGUAAAGAGCUCGUAGGCGGCUUGUCACGUCGGGUGUGAAAGCCCCGGGGCUUAACCCCGGGGUCUGCAUUCGAUACGGGCAGGCUAGAGUGUGGUAGGGGAGAUCGGAAUUCCUGGUGUAGCGGUGAAAUGCGCAGAUAUCAGGAGGAACACCGGUGGCGAAGGCGGGUCUCUGGGCCGUAACUGACGCUGGAGGAGCGAAAGCAUGGGGAGCGAACAGG
rnacentral:rRNA from 1 species